rnacentral:lncRNA from 1 species
ACAGGCUGCCAGCUGUGUUUCCUCAGCUGCAGUGCAAGUGGGGCAUGCUCCGUUGAGACUUUAUUCACUCUGGGCAGUUUGUUGAAGAUUAGGUGGUCAGCUCACAAUGAAUCAUAAGCUGCUUUUGUCCCUUGCUGUCUAUGCUUAGAAGCUAAAAGGUUAAGCAGCGAUGUCAGCGCUAUCAGGGAGCUGUGGAGACUGGAAUUGAAGUUCAGAACCUUUCAUGGGAGACAGCUCAGCUCCGCAGUAGCUUUGAAAACAAGCAGCCCACAAUCAUGCUGACAGCCAGAAGUCUGGCAGACACUGGGAUUGAAAUAUAAUGUUGGAUAUUCUACAAAGCCUCAUUUCCAGAAAAUUGUGAUUAUUUAAACUGUCUCUCAAUUCCUGGAAAACUCCACUUACAAGACUGCCUUUAUUUGACCUGAUUUGGAGCUUGGGUAGUAUUAACAGCUUUAUCCUCAGGGGCAUUGGUUAAAAAAAGAAAAAAAAAAUCCAUGGGCAAAGUUUAACAUUAUGGCUCUGUGAGACAGUAGAUAACAUUAAAUCCAAACUAUAGAGUUUGGCAAUGAUGAACUUAGGCAAAGUAAGACGUUUGCAAGGUAAAUCUUAAGAAUGAGAUGUUUAUGAGGAGUUUGGAAAAACUUUGACUUAUUUCUAAAAAUCUACAUGGCUUGCUGCAUAUGUGUACAGCUCUAGGUAUGUCCAGAGUUGUGUGAUUGCUCUGGAAAUAUAUGAGAAAGUCCUAAGCUCUCACUUCUAAUUAACCUUGAGGCUUUGUGCAAACAAGAAGUAAAGGUGAAGUCAGAGUUGUAAACAAGUGGCUGAGUGUUUAAGAUGUUAUCUCAAUACACAUGCUAAGCUCCUUGGCAAAGAUUAGUUCCACACAUUUAAAAACACCUUUUUCUAACCAUUAGCUGACCAAAACACCAACCAAGCAGAAAUUUCAGUGGUCAUACUUUGUACCAUAUUUUAAAAAUUGACUCAAAAUGGAACUAACUAAAAAAAGAUUGGAGGCUGUAAUGUUGCAGCUAAAACUAUACAACUCUUAGAAGAAAAUAAGCAUAAAUCAUUUUGACAUUGAUUAAAACAAUGAUUUCUUAGAUAUGACACCAAAA